GUAACGCCAGUCUUCGCCAACUCAACGUACGUCAAAGGGUCUACGAAAACCGUCAAGAUUGACGCACCGUAUCCGAGACGAAACCUUGUUGAGGUCCGCAACCUUACAUACAYUGGUAUAAGGCAAAUCAAUGGCACAAAAACAAUGAAAUUUAGCUGGUUAAAACCACAGUUUCGCCACAGCAAUGCCACUAGAUACGUGGUAAAGUACACCAUCGGCCCAAUAGGGGAUAAUAAGGCCAUCCCGACUAUCAAGAGAACCAGGAGAUCAACAGGCAACCAGACGAAUACAGGAUCAAUAACAGAGAGUGUCUUGACGACCAUUUUUUCCGCUCCUUUAUUGGAAAACGACAAACAAAUCACUCUAGAGGU